rnacentral:lncRNA from 1 species
GUUGGUAACGGAACCUUCUUCAAAAAGGUCUAAAGGGUAAGCUACAUAAGCAAUAUAUUGAUGUUUUACUCCAAUAACACGCUCGAUGCGGUAGCAUCACCCUUUGUAACGAUCAAGACUAGUAAGUCCAUCGGUCCAUACAGUUGUCCAUGUACCAGUAGAUGAUUUGGCAGCUACCGCGGCCCCUGCUUCUUUAGGUGGAACUCCAGGUUGAGGAAUUACUCGGAAUGCUGUCAAUAUAUCAGUAUCCUUGGUUUGGUACUCAGGAGUCUAAUAAGUUAAUUUGUACUCUUUAACACCAGCUGUGAAUCCAACACUUGCUUUAGUCUCUAUUUGUGGUGACAUAAAUCCCUCCCUACAACUCAUGAAUUAAGAAUUCUCACAACAACAAGGUCUACUCGACACGAAUUACGCGUUAAUGAAACUUUUCACAGGAAUCUUUCAGAAAAUUUCCAACUAAUACUAAUAUUAUCAAUUAAUCAGAAUGGUUGAUUAUUAGACCAUGGUAUUUGAUUUGCCAAAUACAUCAUUAUUGUAUACUCUUUCAUAUAUAUAGCGCAACCCAAUUUUGAUUUUUUACCUUUUUUUUUGAAAUGGAAAUACCUAACUAAACUAAAUAAUAAGAACUUCCCCCUUGACAGUGGUAUAUGUUGUAUAUGUAAAUCCUAAAUGUGAAAAUAUAUGGAAUUCCGCUAUGAAAGGUAUAAAAAAGAAAGAAAAACGCAAAGAAAAGAAUAGGCUAGGCAUAAAUCAAUAUGCUGAAAUUUAACUAAAAAAUAAAUAAGAAAAAUAAGAAGAGGAGCCCAUUAGAUCCAAAUAGUGAAUCGUAAUAGAAAUAUAAAAUAAAGUUCAGGUUCGAAUUCCAUAGAAUAGAUAAUAUGGAUGGGAUUGUCUAUAAUGAUAGACAAAUGAAAGACUUUCUCAAGAUUCUGAUUCAUCCACUUGAGAUUUUUAAAUUAAAAUAGGUUGGGUGAGCUUGCAAAUUAACUCAAUCUCAUUGAAUAAGUAAACAAUUGAAUUGGUUCAAUUGCAUGGUGCCAACGAAAUUGAGUGCUAAUUCCCAUUUUAUUGAAUUAACCGAUCGACGUACUAGCGGACAUUUACUUUGAAUUCGAUAAUUUUUGAAAAAAC